UUACCUUUAGGAGGGGGAUAACAAUUGGAAACGAUUGCUAAUACCCCAUAUGCUUUUUUAAGUGAAAUGGAUUUUUCCGCCUAAAGAAAAGCUCGCGGCUGAUUAGCUAGUUGGUAAGGUAAUGGCUUACCAAGGCGACGAUCAGUAUCUGGUUUGAGAGGACGAUCAGACACACUGGAACUGAGACACGGUCCAGACUCCUACGGGAGGCAGCAGUGGGGAAUUUUCCGCAAUGGGCGAAAGCCUGACGGAGCAAUACCGCGUGAGGGAAGACAGCCUACUGGGUUGUAAACCUCUUUUUUCAGGGAGGAAAAAAAUGACGUGUACCUGAAGAAUAAGCAUCGGCUAACUCCGUGCCAGCAGCCGCGGUAAGACGGAGGAUGCAAGUGUUAUCCGGAAUUACUGGGCGUAAAGCGUCUGUAGGUUGUUUAAUAAGUCAACUGUUAAAUCUUGAGGCUUAACUUCAAAACAGCAGUCGAAACUAUUAGACUAGAGUAUAG
rnacentral:rRNA from 1 species